rnacentral:rRNA from 1 species
CAACGUGGGUAACCUGCCCAAGAGACUGGGAUAACACCUGGAAACAGAUGCUAAUACCGGAUAACAACACUAGACGCAUGUCUAGAGUUUAAAAGAUGGUUCUGCUAUCACUCUUGGAUGGACCUGCGGUGCAUUAGCUAGUUGGUAAGGUAACGGCUUACCAAGGGCAAUGAUGCAUAGCCGAGUUGAGAGACUGAUCGGCCACAUUGGGACUGAGACACGGCCCAAACUCCUACGGAAGGCAGCAG